rnacentral:rRNA from 1 species
GAUGAACGCUGGCGGCGUGCCUAAUACAUGCAAGUCGAGCGAACGGACGAGAAACUUGCUUCUCUGAUGUUAGCGGCGGACGGGUGAGUAACACGUGGAUAACCUACCUAUAUGACUGGGAUAACUUCGGGAAACCGGAGCUAAUACCGGGUAAUAUUUUGAACCGCAUGGUUCAAAAGUGAAAGACGGUCUUGCUGUCACUUAUAGAUGGAUCCGCGCUGCAUUAUCUAGUUGGUAAGGUAACGGCUUACCAAGGCAACGAUGCAUAGCCGACCUGAGAGGGGGAUCGGCCACACUGGAACGGAGAAACGGUCCAGACUCCUACGGGAGGCAGCAGUAGGGAAUCUUCCGCAAUGGGCGAAAGCCUGACGGGGCAACGCCGCGUGAGUGAUGAAGGUCUUCGGAUCGUAAAACUCUGUUAUUAGGGAAGAACAUAUGUGUAAGUAACUGUGCACAUCUUGACGGUACCUAAUCAGAAAGCCACGGCUAACUACGUG